GAUGAACGCUGGCGGCGUGUCUAAUACAUGCAAGUCGAGCGAACAGACGAGGUGUUUGUUUCUCUGACGUUAGCGGUGGACGUGUUAGUAACAUGUGGAUAACACACCUAUAAUACUGUGAUAACCUCGGGACACCGGAGCUAAUACCGGAUAACAUGUUCAACCGCAAGGCUCAACAGUCCAAGACGGGUUUGCUGUCACUUAUUGAUGGCAUCCCCCCGCAUUAGCUAGUUGGUAAGGUAACGGCUUACCAAGGCAACCAUGCGUACCCGACCUGAUAGGGUGAUGAGCCAAGCUAGAACUGAAACACGGUCCAGACGCCUACGGUAGGAAGCAGUAGGGAAUCUUCCGCAAAAGGCGAAAACCUGACGGAGCAACGCCGCGUGAAUGAAGAAGGUCUUCAGAUCGUAAAACUCUGUUAUUAGGAAAGAACAAAUGUGUAAGUAACUGUGCACGUCUUGACGGUACCGAAUCAGAAAGCCACGGCUAACUGCGUG
rnacentral:rRNA from 1 species